rnacentral:rRNA from 1 species
GACGAACGCUGGCGGCGUGCUUAACACAUGCAUUUCGAACGGAAAGGCCCUGCUUUUGUGGGGUGCUCGAGUGGCGAACGGGUGAGUAACACGUGAGUAACCUGCCCUUGACUUUGGGAUAACUUCAGGAAACUGGGGCUAAUACCGGAUAGGAGCUCCUGCUGCAUGGUGGGGGUUGGAAAGUUUCGGCGGUUGGGGAUGGACUCGCGGCUUAUCAGCUUGUUGGUGGGGUAGUGGCUUACCAAGGCUUUGACGGGUAGCCGGCCUGAGAGGGUGACCGGCCACAUUGGGACUGAGAUACGGCCCAGACUCCUACGGGAGGCAGCAGUGGGGAAUAUUGCACAAUGGGCGGAAGCCUGAUGCAGCAACGCCGCGUGCGGGAUGACGGCCUUCGGGUUGUAAACCGCUUUCGCCUGUGACGAAGCGUGAGUGACGGUAAUGGGUAAAGAAGCACCGGCUAACUACGUGCCAGCAGCCGCGGUGAUACGUAGGGUGCGAGCGUUGUCCGGAUUUAUUGGGCGUAAAGGGCUCGUAGGUGGUUGAUCGCGUCGGAAGUGUAAUCUUGGGGCUUAACCCUGAGCGUGCUUUCGAUACGGGUUGACUUGAGGAAGGUAGGGGAGAAUGGAAUUCCUGGCGGAGCGGUGGAAUGCGCAGAUAUCAGGAGGAACACCAGUGGCGAAGGCGGUUCUCUGGGCCUUUCCUGACGCUGAGGAGCGAAAGCGUGGGGAGCGAACAGGCUUAGAUACCCUGGUAGUCCACGCUGUAAACGGUGGGUACUAGGUGUGGGGUCCAUUCCACGGGUUCCGUGCCGUAGCUAACGCUUUAAGUACCCCGCCUGGGGAGUACGGCCGCAAGGCUAAAACUCAAAGGAAUUGACGGGGCCCCGCACAAGCGGCGGAGCAUGCGGAUUAAUUCGAUGCAACGCGUAGAACCUUACCUGGGUUUGACAUGGAUCGGGAGUGCUCAGAGAUGGGUGUGCCUCUUUUGGGGUCGGUUCACAGGUGGUGCAUGGCUGUCGUCAGCUCGUGUCGUGAGAUGUUGGUUAAGUCCCGCAACGAGCGCAACCCUUGUUCACUGUUGCCAGCACGUUAUGGUGGGGACUCAGUGGAGACCGCCGGGGUCAACUCGGAGGAAGGUGGGGAUGACGUCAAGUCAUCAUGCCCCUUAUGUCCAGGGCUUCACGCAUGCUACAAUGGCUGGUACAGAGAGUGGCGAGCCUGUGAGGGUGAGCGAAUCUCGGAAAGUCGGUCUCAGUUCGGAUUGGGGUCUGCAACUCGACCUCAUGAAGUCGGAGUCGCUAGUAAUCGCAGAUCAGCAACGCUGCGGUGAAUACGUUCCCGGGGCU